rnacentral:tRNA from 1 species
GGUCGGAUGGCCCAGUGGUUAGAGCUUAAGCCUAGUGACCGGAAGAUCCCAGGAUCAAAUCUCGCCAGAUGA